AAAUAUAGAAUCAAUUGACAACAACUUAAUUUGUCCAGCAUAGGACAACAAAGAAGAGUUUUCAUAUCUUCUAAUAUUAUAAUAUCUCACUAUAUUAGUGGCUAAAUCAGUUUUCUCUAAGCACAAAUACUCACUUCAUUUUUGGAGUUUAAGCUUUUCUAUCUUCUGAUAUUAGUAGUUUGAUCCCAAAAAAAAAACGGUCGAACUGUUCAUUGUAAUUGGUGAAAGAAAACAAACAAAAAUCAACCGAAGACUUUUAAGGUAUAUGAAACAAAAAUUGGAAAUAUCAAUUCUCUUCAAUUAAAGAAUAAGGUAAUAAAAUUGUAAAAAUACAAAAUAAAAAAUAAAAAAUAUAUACACAGAAAGAAAGAUUUAGUAAAAUAAAAUCAUAAUAUAAUUUACAUAAUUGAUAGUGCUCAGUUACACUAGAAAGUCUAAAUUUACAACAUACGCAGUUUUAUUUACAUCUUUAAACCUAUUAUCUAAUUGAAAUGAUUCUAAAAAAUUGCCACCAUGAAGAGUUAGAAAAUAUACGAUAAAAUAUAAAUCAUGACGUUAAAAAUACAUUAUCACUGAUCACUAAAAAAUCAUGUUAGUAGUAAUAAAAAUGAAAUGACAAUACAUUUAUUAAAACCUUAGAACGGCAC
rnacentral:lncRNA from 1 species